CUUGUUUGUCUGCUGGUGGCAAAAAUGAAAGAAGCAAUGCCCUGCUGAGGAGAACCAGAGAGCUGUCUCCCAAUGAGAUCAAGAAGGCUCUUGCACUUUUUAAAGAUCCCCAAUCGCAUCAUUCCAUGUUGCUGCAAGCUUAUGAAGAAGUGCAACAGGAAACUGAUGACGUGGAAGUUGAGGCAUCAAGUUUCAAUCUGAAAGUUGUAAAAAAGCCCCUAAUUGGCCCAAAAGAGUUAAAGGGAAAUGAAUCUGCUCUACAUGCUGGAAUUUGGAGCCAGACCUCCAGUGAUGGGGCCGGUGGCAAC